AUUGGGCAAUGCCCGCAAGGGUGACCCAGCAACGCCGCGUGGAGGAUGAAUGUCGUAAGAUUGUAAACUCCUGUUAGAGGGGAAGAAUAGUACCGGUUGGACCGGUAUAUGACUGUACCCUCAGAAGAAGCCCCGGCUAACUUCGUGCCAGCAGCCGCGGUAAUACGAAGGGGGCUAGCGUUGUUCGGAAUUACUGGGCGUAAAGCGCACGUAGGCGGACAUUUAAGUCAGGGGUGAAAUCCCAGGGCUCAACCCUGGAACUGCCUUUGAUACUGGGUGUCUUGAGUACGAGAGAGGUGAGUGGAAUUCCGAGUGUAGAGGUGAAAUUCGUAGAUAUUCGGAAGAACACCAGUGGCGAAGGCGGCUCACUGGCUCGUAACUGACGCUGAGGUGCGAAAGCGUGG
rnacentral:rRNA from 1 species